rnacentral:lncRNA from 1 species
CUCAGCUGUGCCACUGAUGACUGCCCUCAAACAGCCAAACGUGGGACUUCCUUCUGAUGCCAUGUUGCCUUUCACUUACAUCGGAUUGUGAGGGGUUGUUUCAUCGGCAACAAAAGAGUGAAAUGGAAUAAGGAAUAAACAAGAAGCAAGACAAAGCUGUCACUGCAUUUGUUACCAGCUGAAAGAAAAAGAGGCAAAAACCUCCUGCAGCAGAGACUUGAUAAUCACUUUCCCAAACGAUACUGUUAUUGUAAUUGCCAAACUCUUUGUAAAGCAGCAUAUAGCUACAGUCAUUGCAGCGCUGGAAUUGUCCACGAGGACGAACAUGUAGCAUAGAAAAGAAAUAAGGAUGGUACCAUCAGUGAAAAUCUUCAUUAUCGGGAGAGGGUGGAGAAGCUGAGAUCAUCUUCAAAGAGAAAGGAAAGUGCUUCAGGGGCAUUUCUACAUAUUUUCAGGUCAGCGAAAGGGAAUUGUGUUUAUACAUUUUUCUUAGCCUGAAAGAAUUUUAAACAACUAGGAGAAAAUAGGAUGAAAUGGGGAGUUCAAAUGGAAAUCUGCAAGGCUAUCAGUCUUUCCCAGUGUACCACCAAGACAUUGACGCAAUGUCAUCUGGAGCCAGUCUGUUAUAACUGAGGCUUUUGAAACAUAAUGAACUUUGCCAUUUCAAAUUAGUACUGACAAACAAAAUAGCUGACUUAUCUCUACUCAGAAAUUACUCCAAGGAAAGAAAAUGCAGGCAAUUUAGUAGGAGACUUGGUGCUUACAGAAAGUAUUUGUGAUGACAAAUUUGUUAGUGAGACAUCUCUCUGAGUUGAAGUCACAGGUGAAAGGGGAAAUACCCAGAGUAGGGGCCACUCCAGUCUGGGAACCUUUGUGUCACAGAGACAGGCAUGGUUUGAUCAGGGAAUUUCAAGAGAUACAGCAGAAGAGCAGUACUUGGUAUCCCCUCUGCUUCAGAGGCAUCAGUUCAUACUGUGUCCUUGCGUUGUUUUCAAAGCCAGGCAGACAGCAUCCUGACCACACGGAGGGAUGUAGAAGUCUUCAGGAACAACCUCUUAUUCCUUUCAGUCCCUGGAGAAGUUACAGAAAAAGCCACAUCUCACUGCAAAGGAGCUAAAUCUCUUAAUGGAAAAGCCUUCUGUAUAAUGAGUACCUUCAAAACAAAUGUAAAUUCUCACACACCGCUAAUGUCAAAUGAGAAAUUCCUGUGCAGGGCUGAGCCCCAGGUGAGUAACCAACCAUAUUAGCUCGAAGCAUCAGUUGCUGGCAUUUGAAAGGUAUCGGGUGUGUCUGGCCCAUUAUAAAUGACUGUAAACACUUGAACUUCAAACUGAUAAAAGUUUAAGUGUAUAGAUCGUUGCUAAUGGCUGAGCAUUGAAAUAGCAAACUACAUUCUUUAAAGGACUCCACUGUAUCUUUGAAUAUACACAGAAACUCAAAAACUUAACCAAAACAAAAGCUGUGCAAUAUUUCUGGAGUUACACUAACAUCAAGAAACAUCAGAGAUCCCACUGUGCUGAAAUUUAUGGUGGGGCUGACCAAAACUGGUGAUGUAGGAAGGAGACAUUUAGUACAAGCAUGCUGCCUGGACUUCUAAAGUGAACUGCAGAGUACAUGCCUCUCCAGUGGCAAGCCAUCCUAUCUAGUUUAAAGAGGAAUCUCUAGCUGGAAGCCAUUCUUUCUCCAUUCACUAGAUGGACCCAGGCAGCUCCAAAAAGUUGAGAGAAAUUUAUAGUACUUUUAGUGAAGAACAAUUUCUUCCUUGACUAACAUAUCAUAAAAGACAAUGGAGAGAAACCCUAAUGCAACAGCUCCCAGAGGGGGAUGUGAUAAGAGACUGCAGACUGGACCUGUGGAUCCAGAAGGAUGAUGUUUAACCCUCACGUUGAGCACAGUUGCUGGCCGAGCC